CAUUGUUGUCAAUUAACUUUGGUCUAUAUAUACCGAGAUAAUAGUUUAAAAACUUUCAAAGCAUCAAAGUUGUAUUCGUUUGAGCAUAAGAAGUUUGAAAAAAUAGCCGUGUAGCUUGACAACUCAUACCUCAGAAACAGAAAGAUGUCCGCACUAUGGCUUGCAAUUUUCCUGAUAGCAGCAAUAUUUUGUUGUAUGAUUUUGCCGAUCGCCGGACAGUUCUUUUAUAAUCCUUUUAUGUAUCCGUAUUAUAGUUAUUACUCAUCACUCUACAGAAGAUUUCCCUACAUGUUUUAUGGAGCGGAUUAAAGUUCGGGAGUAUGUCAUUCAGAAAAUACAUCAACAAGUCGAGAAAUCAUAUAAAUCUCCGUCAUUGUAUAUUUUCAUGAAAUGUUUCCUACAAUAAAUUAUACAUGAACUUUUAUCGAAGAAUACAUUAUUUAUUUAUGUGAA